rnacentral:rRNA from 1 species
CCUACGGGAGACAGCAGUGGGGAAUAUUGCACAAUGGGGGAAACCCUGAUGCAGCGACGCCGCGUGAGUGAAGAAGUAUUUCGGUAUGUAAAGCUCUAUCAGCAGGGAAGAAAUAGCGACCUUUGGGUCGCCAGACGGUACCUGACUAAGAAGCCCCGGCUAACUACGUGCCAGCAGCCGCGGUAAUACGUAGGGGGCAAGCGUUAUCCGGAUUUACUGGGUGUAAAGGGAGCGUAGACGGCAGCACAAGUCUGAAGUGAAAUCCCGGGGCUUAACCCCGGAACUGCUUUGGAAACUGUGCAGCUAGAGUGCAGGAGAGGUAAGUGGAAUGCCUAGUGGAGCGGUGAAAUGCGUAGAUAUUAGGAGGAACACCAGUGGCGAAGGCGGCUUACUGGACUGUAACUGACGUUGAGGCUCGAAAGCGUGGGGAGCAAACAGGAUUAGAUACCCCGGUAGUC